UGUUAAAUAUUUUGUGCAUUUGUAUUGUUAUAAACUGGCGUAGCUGACUGGAUAACCAAAUAGUGUAUAUGUUAUGCCACAUAUAUUUCAUGUUGAUAAAUAGGGAUCAAUUUUCAAUAGUAGAAAUAGAUGAAAUUUUUAAUA
rnacentral:pre_miRNA from 1 species